rnacentral:rRNA from 1 species
UACGAAGGGGGCUAGCGUUGCUCGGAAUCACUGGGCGUAAAGGGUGCGUAGGCGGCUUUUUAAGUCAGGGGUGAAAUCCUGGAGCUCAACUCCAGAACUGCCUUUGAUACUGGGAAGCUUGAGUCCGGGAGAGGUGAGUGGAACUCCGAGUGUAGAGGUGAAAUUCGUAGAUAUUCGGAAGAACACCAGUGGCGAAGGCGGCUCACUGGCCCGGUACUGACGCUGAGGUGCGAAAGCGUGGGGAGCAAACAGG